rnacentral:snRNA from 1 species
GACCGACGCGGAUUACGGU